AAAUAAGUAAGCUAACUUAAGCUAUUAGGUUCAUACCCUAAAAAUAGAAAAUUCUCUUCUCUUAUUUA
rnacentral:tRNA from 1 species